rnacentral:lncRNA from 1 species
GAUGGUGACACAGUUUUGAUUAAGUCUUUUUUUUAUUUUUAACUCUUAGAAAAUGUCAGUGCCUUCAAUGCCUGCAGGAGGGUCCCGAUCACAACACAGCACCGAGCCCCUCACUCGAAAUGAAUGAGUGACGCUGAUUAGGCCAUUUUGGAAAGCAAGAGGUUUGCUGCAUUUUCAGAGCCAUUUUUGGCCUUUCAUCCCACGAGAAGUCAGAUGGUCCCAGAGGCAGAAGCGAUCCCAGUGACAGCCCUCCUGCCUUCCAAAGGAAACCCCCCAAGGUUACUUUCCUCCUCGAGCUUCAGCAACUGGUAGAAAGUGUUGGCUCUUCAUCUCCAGUGGAGUCCAGAAACAAUGAGAGAUGCUCCUUUUCCUUUCCAUGCAGAGGGUUCGGACCGGGUUGAAGCUGGUGUCUGGGCAAGGAUGAUGCCCCAAAUGGCUAAAGAGUGGGGAUAAACCAGAAAGAGUUGCAAGCUGAGUCCUUCAAGAGGUGCAUAAUCAGCGAUGGUGAAUUUGUGGUGAGUCCAUGGAGGUGUGAGUGGCAUAUGAACAGGAGUCCAAGCUGAAAGGUUGGAAGCAGGGACAGUGGGAACAGAGUGAAGACAAAGA